AAUAAUAAACAAUGUAUUUAAAAGCAUGUUAAAAAUGGUCAGACAUUUAGAGAUUAUCAGUCAUAUUCUUUAUUUCUCACAUCACAGUUUUGCCGUCUUGCUGCUUGAAGUCAUUUUCUUCUCAUUGGUUUCGUUGCAGAAGGAACCUGCAGUGGAUAAUGCUAUUUAUUUUUGCUUCUAUUCCACUUCCUAGACACGGCAGGUUGUGUGGAUUAUAACCUCUGAUACACAGUCCUCUAAAUUCAGUUGCCUGCAUGAAUAACUUAUUCUCUAGUACCAGCCUGUGUUCUGCUUCUUCCUAUAUAAAUUCUACAUGAGAUUACAGUCACCUUUAAAUUAACACUUCCCUGGCUAAAAGGGCUGUAGGAAUUUCCUCAGUAUGUUUAUUUAUUUGUUUGUUUAUUGAAGCACUAAGCGUGCGCAUGCUGGGAACUCUUCUAUCAAUGAACUAUAUUCCCAGUUCUUUGUAAACCCUUUUUAAAGAUUGAGGCAGGGUCUCACUACGUUGCUCGGAUGGAUCUUGAAUUCCUUAGGUAGAGAAAGCUGUUCUUGAACUUUCGGUCUCCAUGUUCAAGCCUCCCAAUUAUUUGAGAGUACAGUGCUGCAUCACCUGGCCUGCUUCCCAGUAUACAUUGGAACAAAGUUUCAGGACUUCAAAAUUCUUAAUGUCAUAAUUGGAUCAGAAUUCUACUAAGCAGGCACAUGCAUUCAAAGACUACAAAAACAGACAUAUUAGUAACACAGUGAUAUAAAAUCUUCCUCUACAAGUAAUCAUUAAUUCUUAAAACAACAACACUUUAUUUUCCUUAAAUUGAAAAAUGGAGUUGUCCUACAGCAAGGUAUAGUUCUGCCUCUCUGCAGAAACAAUUCCAGUAAACACACAUUGAUUCUAUUCAUCAACUAGUAUUUUGCAAGGCAUUUUAAUGUUCCAUAAGACUACUAUGCUUUCAGGGAAAUUUAAUACACAAAGUGAAGUGUGAAUUUCCCUUCGAUUUGAGACAUGCUCAAUAGGAAGAUGUUAAAAGAGUUAAAUUACAAAGCUAAGAAGCAAGUCAAUCUACAGUUUCUUGCACCUGCGUCAAUGAACCUUAUGUGAAAAAACUGAAAACCAUGUAAAUUAACUUCAGUAAUUAGGAACAAAGCAAACAUGAUACAACUUGAAAGUCACUACUAAUGCAAUGUAUUAUUGUAAUUCAAUUAAUGCGUAAGGAAACAGUAAACAAAUGCUAAAAGUUAAGAUGGUGGGCAUUUGAAAAUACUUCAUAGUGAAAACAUAAAUGAGACUUGCACAUACAUGGUUUUAUGUUUGGAAAGCGAUUUUUUGCUCUGUUCCAAGGGAGAUCAGCAUCAGUUGAAGAAAGAUCUUGAAGAAAUUUCGGUAAUUCCUGUGGGGAAAAAGUCAUUGCAAAGUUUAAACUUGACAGUGUGAUUUCAUGCCUAUUAAUUGGUACAACCCUGGUCAUUUUGAGAAGAUGUCAAAGGUCAAUUCUGCACUCCGUUGGCCUCGUUAAAUUGAUAGUGGAAUGCAAAGGAUGAAAGAGCAGGGAGCUGGGGCCAGCCUGCCAUUGCCGGGAGUCCUGAAGAAGAUCACCUUCUCCUAACACAAAUGGAUGGGACCCAGCUCUGUGAAGGAUACACAGCAGUGGAUAAAAAGAAGAAAAGAAAGAAUGUAACUGCAGAAGUUCAGUCAAUCCAUAGAGAUUUUGUAACAUAAAUUCUGCAGUUCUACAAGCAAAUGGUUUUAACAAAUAUCAUGAUAUAUAGAUAAUAUAACACAAAGCAGGAAAAUCAAUUAAGAGCCAAAGCCCUUGAAUUAUAAAUGCCCACUAAUAAAGAAUUGGUAGAGACCUGGCCUACAUUUCUAUGACUCGAAACCUCUCUGUAGCUGCCAAGACAGUCAUUACCAGAAUAAAAAGUCAAAAAGAAAACCACACAGUUUCCUAGCUGUGUUGAAUGGUAAGAAGUAGAGAAUGGUUAUGCUCUGAAAACACCACAUUUAGGAAAGCUACCCCAGCACUGACGUUCGCUGUCAGGAAAAGUGACCUCAAUGGAUGCUUUUUCUCAUGUUAACCC